GACGAACGCUGGCGGCGUGCUUAACACAUGCAAGUCGAGCGGUAAGGCCCUUUCGGGGGUACGACGAGCGGCGAACGGGUGAGUAACACGUGGGUGACCUGCCCUCAGCUCUGGGAUAAGCCUGGGAAACCGGGGUCUAAUACCGGAUAUGACUCCAUGACGCAUGUUGUGGGGUGGAAAGCCUUGUGCGGCUGAGGAGUGGGCCCGGCGGCCUAUCAGCUUGUUGGGUGGGGUGAUGGCCUACCAAGGCGACGACGGGUAGCCGGCCUGAGAGGCGGACCGGCCACACUGGGACUGAGACACGGCCCAGACU
rnacentral:rRNA from 1 species